rnacentral:lncRNA from 1 species
GAACUUUCAAAACAGCUGAGAUGGCAGCUCGUGCUCACGACGUCGCUGCCCUAGCCCUCCGUGGAAGAGGCGCCUGCCUCAAUUAUGCGGACUCGGCUUGGCGGCUCCGCAUCCCGGAGACAACCUGCCACAAGGAUAUCCAGAAGGCUGCUGCUGAAGCCGCAUUGGCUUUUGAGGCUGAGAAAAGUGAUGUGACGAUGCAAAAUGGCCAGAACAUGGAGGAGACGACGGCGGUGGCUUCUCAGGCUGAAGUGAAUGACACGACGACAGAACAUGGCAUGAACAUGGAGGAGGCAACGGCAGUGGCUUCUCAGGCUGAGAUGAAUGACACGACGACGGAUCAUGGCGUAGACAUGGAGGAGACAAUGGUGGAGGCUGUUUUUACUGAGGAACAAAGUGAAGGGUUUAACAUGGCGAAGGAGUCGACGGUGGAGGCUGCUGUUGUCACUACAAGAAAACACGUUUUUGCCGACUGAUUUUACCGACUGAUUAUGUAGUCGCUAAAUAUACCGACUGAUUCACGACUGAUUAGCGACUAUGCUACGACCGAAAUAAAACAGUAGGUAAUCAGUCGCCAAACAACGACUACAGAAUUCAGUAGAAACCUAGUCGUUUAUUAGCGACUGACUACAGACUAAUGUGUAGUCGGUAAGCAUCGGUCGGUAAUUAGUCGGGAAAUAUAGUGACUGUUUAGCGACUGAUAUAUAUUAGGUGAAACCGUCACAUUUCGGUCGUCAAAAACCGGUAUAAAACACGUGAAUGUCGUUACUAGUUUGGUGUAACAACCUUUUACGACCAAAUAUAUCAGUCGGUAAAGUCAGUCGUAAAUCAGUAGGAAAACAGUCGGAAACAUUUUCUAUAUAUACACCCAACCCAGUCAUUUUUUCUUCGUGCGAUGCUUGAAAGAAUAAAAAAGUCAGAAAAAAACGUUCAGUCACAUAAUGGGAGGUAAUUACAACUACACUAACUUUCGAGAUUGGAUGUACAAGAGGAUCGAUGAAGAAACGGGGAAUUUCUCGGAAGAGUUCACAACGGGAGUAGAGCAAUUCAUGGCAUUUGCAAACAGUCAGCCUCUAACACAGGAUAAUAAUGGUAAAUUCUUUUGUCCUUGCAGUGUUUGCAAGAAUGAGAAAUUUCUCCCGGGGCAUCGAAUUUUGAAACAUAUAUAUAGUAAAGGGUUUAUGCUCGACUAUUAUGUGUGGUACAAGCAUGGAGAAGAACUCGAUAUGGCUUUAGGAACAAGUUAUGCUAAUCCGACGCAUUUAAGUGGUAGUGAAGAUCACAUUGGUAAUGCAGUAGAAGAUAGAUAUGUGGAAAUGGUGAAUGAUGCAUUUCGAGAUAAUGUGAGUUUUGAUAACUAUCAACAUGGUGAUAGUUAUCAAAAUGCAGUAGAUCCGGAAUGCAAUCACUCGAAGAAAUUCUACGACUUGUUAGAAGGAGCGAAAAAUCCUUUAUAUGAUGGUUGCCGAGAAGGUCACUCGCAAUUAUCAUUGGCUUCUAGGAUCAUGCAAAAUAAGGUGGAUUAUAAUUUGAGUGAAAAGUGCGUUGAUUCGGUAUGUGAAAUGUUGACAGACUAUUUACCAGCUGGAAACCAAUCAACCGGUUCACAUUACGAGACAGAAAGAUUGAUGCGCAAUUUGGGUCUCCCGUACUAUAAAAUUGAUGUGUGUGUUAACAAUUGUAUGAUCUUCUGGAAAGAGGAUGAAAGGUGGGAUAAGUGUCAGUUUUGUGAUGCACCAAGAUGGAAGCCUAGAAGCGAACGACGUAGAACCAAAGUGCCAUAUAGUCGUAUGUGGUAUCUACCUAUUGCUGACAGAUUGAAGAGAAUGUAUCAGAGCAAGAAGACAGCAGCAGCAAUGAGAUGGCAUGCAGAGCACCAAGCAAAGGAGGGUGAAAUGUCUCAUCCGUCAGAUGCAGCAGAGUGGAAACACUUUCAAGAUCAACAUCCCCGGUUUGCAGAGGAACCCCGUAAUGUUUAUCUCGGCUUAUCUACGGAUGGAUUCAAUCCAUUUGGGAUGUCUAAUAAUCAUUCGUUGUGGCCAGUGAUCUUGACUCCAUAUAAUCUACCUCCUGGUAUGUGCAUGAAUCCAGAGUACUUGUUUCUCACAAUUUUGAAUUCUGGGCCAAAUCACCCACGAGCUAGUCUAGAUAUCUUCCUCAAACCUCUAAUUGCGGAGUUAAAAGAGCUGUGGUCUACUGGAGUUGAAGCAUACGAUGUCUCUUUGAAUCAAAAUUUUAAUCUUAAGGCUGUGCUUCUUUGGACGAUAAGCGACUUUCCGGCAUAUGGGAUGCUAUCAGGAUGGACGACUCAUGGUAGGUUGUCUUGUCCAAUUUGUAUGGAAGAUACAAAGGCUUUUUAUCUGAAGAAUGGAAGGAAGACGUGUUGGUUUGAUUGUCAUCGAAGAUUUCUUCCUCGUGGCCAUCCAUUGAGGAAGAACAGAAAGGACUUCUUGAAGGGAAAACAUGCUAUGAAUGAAGUUCCACCUGAAUCUUUGAGUGGUGAGCAAGUUUAUUCUGAGCGGUUAAAAGGUGUCAAUCCACCAAAAACGUCCCAGUGCGGUGGAAAUGGUCACGAUAAGAAGAAACCCGGAUAUGGGAAGGAACAUAACUGGCACAAGGAAAGCAUAUUCUGGGAGUUGCCGUACUGGAGGGACCUAAAUCUUCGACAUAAUCUUGAUGUUAUGCAUAUUGAGAAGAAUUUUUUCGACAACAUCAUGAAUACUCUUAUGAGUGUGAAGGGUAAGUCGAAAGACACAAUCAAGUCAAGAUUGGAUAUAGAACUUCUCUGUGAUCGGCAACACUUACAUGUUGAUAGUCGUGGUCAAGCUCCUUUUCCUCCCUACACACUGGGAGAGAGCGCAAGAAAAAGUUUAUUGGAAUGUGUGAAAGUUGGGGUAAAAUUUCCAGACGGUUAUGCUUCCGACUUAGCUAACUGUGUUGAUAUAGAGAAGCGGAAGUUUUCAGGCAUGAAGAGUCAUGACUGCCAUGUGUUUAUGGAGAGGCUACUUCCAUUUAUAUGUGCGGAACUCCUAGACGAGAACGUCCAUCUUGCUUUAUCAGGUACAAAUUAAUUAAUUAAUUAUAGUUUCAUGAUAUAUUACAUUUCGAAGAGUGUUUAUAAAUUGGGUUAUUAACGAUUUUAAAUUUGUUUAUAUAUUGCAGGGAUUGGUUUAUUUUUCCGUGACCUUUGCUCGAGAACUUUGCAAAAAAAUCGCUUAAAAAAACUUAAACAAAAUAUUGUUUUGAUACUAUGCAAUUUGGAAAAGAUCUUUCCACCAUCUUUUUUUGACGUGAUGGAGCACUUGACUAUACAUCUCCCCUAUGAAGCAGAACUAGGAGGCCCCGUGCAAUAUAGGUGGAUGUAUCUUUUCGAAAGAUAUUUUAAGAAGUUGAAAGCGAACGCAACGAACAAAAGCCAUGCAGCAGGGUCGAUAGUUGAAGCAUAUAUCAAUGCUGAGAUUGCUUAUUUCUCAGAACACUACUUCGCUGACAGUAUACAAACAAAAUCGAGGUAAAUGUUAUAAUUAGUUACAUGUUCGCCUUUUCAUGUGUAUUUAUAUGUUUUCUUCUAAAAUGUGGAUCUCUUGUCCUAAUAUGGUAGGUUUACAAGAUUUGAAGUAGGUGAAGUCCCUGUAUAUCAUGUUGAAGGAGUACCAGAUAUAUUUAUUCAGGUAGGUCGUCCAAGCGGGGAAAUGCAAGAAAUUUGGCUUUCCGAAAAAGAUUAUCUAUGCGCACAUGCUUAUGUUUUGCGAAAUUGUGAUUAUUUUCAGCCAUUUGAGAGGUAUAUAUAAUUUGACAAAUUAAAUCCAUACCUUAUAUUUCUCACACUAAUCUAACAAAUGCAUACCUUCUCAUAUUUUAAUUUUGUUGCUCUAAUAUAGCAUGUUCGAAGAUUUUCUUUCUGUAAAAUAUCCAGACCUUUCUGAAAGAGAUCUCUCCACGAAGAGAGCUGAGGAAUAUCAUAUAUGGGUGAAAGAUUAUGUACGUCUCAGUUAUACUAUUAUAAUACUUAAUUUUACAUAGUGUUUAUCUUGUGUAUAUAUAUUUACAGGUUACUCACUGGAGCGAAACACAUCCCUUUCCUGCUUGGGUUAAAGAGUUUGUACAAGGACCCGUGAAUAAAGCCAAAACCUGGCCAAUUUAUUUCACUCGAGGUUUUCUGUUUCAUACCCAAACGCAUGGUGAGGGACGAAAGACUUGCAACUAUGGAGUAUGUGCUAAAGGAGAGAGUUAUACAAAUGCAGCUGAUGAAUCUCAGUACUAUGGGAUCUUAACAGAUAUCAUACAAAUCAAUUACGAGGGUAUAGUCGAUUUGAAAAUCACACUUUUUAAGUGUAAGUGGUAUGACCCUGUUAUUGGUAGAGGCACUCGGCGGAAAAAUGGCGGAAUAGUGGAUGUUCUCUCAUCGAGAAAAUACUACAAAUAUGAUCCAUUUAUUCUAGGUACGUUUGUAUAUAUAUACUUAUUGUUUAUAUUUUUAUUAACUAUAUUUAUUUUUGUUUAACAGCAUCUCAAGCAGAUCAAGUUUGUUAUAUUCCAUAUCCAUAUGUAAGAAAACCGAAGCAGUCUUGGCUCAAUGUUCUAAAAGUGAAUCCGAGGAGAAUCAUUUUUGGAGAAUAUGAAGACAAAGAUCCGGUGACUUUGCAACAAGAAAACGAUGAUGCUGUUUUGAUGACCACAGUUGAAGACCUUGAAGUCGACCAUUUGGUACAUGCUCCUGGAGAACCGAUCAAUAUUGAUUUCGAUGUGGCAGAUGCAGAACCUAAUGAUGAAUUCCGAUGUAAUUUAUCAUCUUCAGACGAUGAUGAAGAUGGAGAUGAAGAUGAACCGUACUAAGUUGCUUAAUUAACAUGAUGAAACGAUCAAUAUUCGGUUUCCAUGUAUAAUAUUAUCUUGUAAUAUGAUGAACUUCGGUUACCAUGUAUAAUAUUAUGUUUCAUAUAUAUGUUAUAAACUUUAUUUGUCGUAUUUAAUAUAUUAUGUUGUAAUACAAUGUUAUUUUGGAUUUAGGGAUUAGGGUUUCGAUUUAGGGGUUAGGAUUAAGGUUUAUUAUGUACAUUUUUAUUUGGCUCCAAAAGUUCUUAAAUCGCAAAAAACAUUUAAAAUAUAUGUUGUAAUAUUUAAUUAUGUAUAUUUGUAUUUUCAAAUUUAUUUUCAAAUUUAUUUGCAAAUUUAACGACUGAUUACCUACUUAUUACCGACUAUUAAGCCAAAAAUUCGGUUUUGCCUCCAAAAAAUUAUUGAACCGCGAAAAUAUUUGGUUAUAAUUUGAUGUUGAAUUUCAAUUUAAUUUUCAUUUUAAAAAAUGAUGACUGAAUUCCUACUGAUUGGCGACUGAUGAUCUAAACCGGGAAAACCCAAAAUUUUUAGACUUAAAGCCCGCGUUAACAAAGCCCAAAAUUUUAUUUCAUCUCUUCUAAUUUCGCGGAAGAAGAAACAGAACCACCAAGAAAACCCUAAUCACUCUCAAUCUCCAUCUCGAUCUCAAUCUCAAUCUCUCUCACGAUCUCAAUCUCCAUCUCCAUCUCGAUCUCAAUCUCUCCCACAGAUCUCGACGGCCACUCUCUCCCACCGGUCUCGAUCGCGAUCUCUCCCACCGAGCUCGAUCUCGAUCUCUCCCACCGGUCACAAUCUCGAUCUCUCCCGCCGAUCCCGAUCUCUCCAGCAUCUGUCUCCGAAGAUGGGUGGAAAGAGGAAGCGGAAUACCGUCAAACCCAACUCCUCUCGGGUUACACAACGCCCAGCUACUUUACCAGCUCAGUAUGACUUCGUACCGAGGGAUCCAUCUCCGUCGAUCCCACCCGUUCUCCCUAAGAACAAACCUCUCCCUAAGAACAAUCCUCUCCCAUCUGUUCGCGAUUAUCCUCCUCCGAGAAAGCUGUUUCCGGAAACGAACUUCCCACCUUCUCAAUCAGCUCCGUCGCCUCUCACUCCAGCUGCUGCGACGUCUCAACCUCAACAUCGACAAACUCAGUCGACUGAACGUAUGAACACACUUCCUCCAAGUCAACCGGCUCCAGUUCGAGCAUCUCAAUCGCCUCACAGUUCUGAAGCACAAAAUUCUCGUUUUCCAGAAGAGGAGGAGGAGGAGGAUAUGUCCGAUGUAGAGGCUCCGGUUCAACCUAAUCUCGCCUCUGACCAUAUGGAUCUUUUGAACUCCCUUCUAAACCAGCCAGGUCGAGCGAAGAACACAAUUGUCCUGUCUCGCAACCUUGAGCCUGGAACCACAUGGUAUUUUCUCUUCCUUUCUUACAAUUGUUGAUGAUUCUUUGAUGAUUCAUUGCUUAUUGGUUAUUGAUCAGUUAUGUUCUUUGCUUGUCUUCUUUUAGAAAUUUAAUUUAAAAAUUUGUAUUGAUGAUAAUUAUAUGUUUGUAGGUUUGGGUAUGACAAGUCGAGCUUGUCUAGGAAGAUUACCAAGAUUUUAAAGAACAAGUUUAAUAAGCCUUUCUACAGCUGGACUCGUGUGCCUAGAGACAGACAAGAACGCUACUUUCUGGAAUUUGCCGUAAGUUUCUCUGUCUCUUCUCUGUCUUUGAGUUAUUAUAGUUAUUAAGUAAGUGGUGUUGACUGGUGUUGUGCAACUCACCAUCCAUGUUAACUUGUCUUUUUUGAACAAGUUUAUUACACACUGUUUUUUUAAUUCUUUGGUUUUUGAUGGCUAACUAGUAUCUUCUAUGUUCAUUUGUAGAAAACUCACACAUGGGAUCCAUCAUUGACUGGUGUUGUGCAAGAACAUUUCGAGGCCAUUGCUCUUCUACGAAUGAAAGACAUGGUCAGCGAAGUAAGGACAUCUCGGCAGCAGCCUAAUUGGAUAGGCGACACACUCUGGAAACUAAUGACCGACUAUUGGGACACUGACGCUGCGGUUGCAAAGAGUGCUACAGCAUCAGCAUCUAGAAUGUCUGACCGUCAAGGUCUUGGCUUUCACACACAUAACUCUGGCCAGAAGUCUUAUAUGCAGCUCCACCAAGAGAUGGUGAGUCCCUACUUCUUAUCUGUUCAUUGUGAUAAGUCUGUUUGGUUUUUAAACAUUUUAUACUGAUCUUUUCUUCCAUUUUACUUCAGGUUGUUGAAUUGGGAAGACCAGUGAGCUUUGGUGAAGUAUUCAUCAGAGCUCAUACAAAGUCAGAUGGAACCUUUAGUGAUUUCAAAGCUAAACAAGUUAUUGAGGCUUUCAAGAAGCAAAAAGAAGCUAAGUUGGCCACCCUUGAGACUGAUGAUCACACCGAGACUGGGCAGCAUCCACCACUAUCAAUAGAAGAGGAGAAUGAGCUGUUUAUUCAGGUUGGGUUUCUUACUCAACAUUUUCUUUUUUGCAUUCAUAAUAGUCUCUCACUUGUUAUUGAUUGUCUUGCUUGUUAUUGCUUGUUAUAGGCCACUUUCACCAAUGACAGGGGGCAAAUUUAUGGCCUUGGAAGCUUGAAGAACCAACUUAAUGAAGUGGCAUAUGACCCAAGAAGCUUGUCCUCUUUCAUCCAAAUGCAGCAGCAACUUGAAGAAGCUCAACGUCAAAUCAAAGAACAAGCUGCUCUUCUUGCAAAGGCUGAGGAAGAUCGUGCCCAAGCUGCUGCUGCUGCGGCAAUGGUUGAGGAAGAGCGUUCCAGAGUUAUAGCUACUCAGCAAGCUACGAUCGAUGAGUUGUUAAUGGUUCGGAAGUACAUCGCCACCACAGACCAGAGAUUCUUGGACUUCAUCUCCAAAGAAACAGCUUCAUCUGAUCCUCAUCAUGUUUAGGUCUUUCCCUUCUCCUAUGUGAAAAACUACCUUUUGGAUGUGUGAAACUUGUAAACUCUUUGGAGUUCUUUCUGUUUGAAAUUUGAUUACUCCUAAGUUAUGGAGUUCUUUUGUUUGUGUAUGGUAUUUAAAACUUUUAUGAUUUCAAAAUCGUUUUUAGUAGUACUAAUAGCAGAUUUAAAUAACAAAUCAUGGACAAGAAAAACAAUACACCAAAAUCAUAUAUUUAACAGCCAAAAAAAUAUGGUAAUUAGUCGCAUAUCAGUCGCGAAAUCAGUCGUAAAUUUUAAGCAUUUCAGUCGCUAAUCAGUCGUGAUUCGGUAGCAGUAAUAUACCGACUGUUUUCCUACAGAGAUAGUUAGUCACUAAGUCAGUCGUGUAAUCAGUCGCUAAAUGCAGUCGUUAAACUCAGUCGUUAAAUUCAGUCGCUAAACGCAGUCGUUAAAUUCAGUCAGUAAGCCGUCGUAGAAUAGUCACUAAAUAAGUCGUAAAUCAGUCGCCAAAUGCCCUACUAAUUACCGACUGAAGUUACGACUGAUCAUAAUAGUCGUCAAACAGUCGCUAAAUACCGACUGUUUUACGACUAAAAUAUUUAGCGACGAGGUAUAUUACGACGACUCUUAUCAGUCGUUAAUCAGUCGGAAAUGACCAUUUACCGACUGAAUACCGACUAAUACCGUAGUCGGAAACGACCUGUUUUCUUGUAGUGUGUUACGGAGGAACCGAGCAAAGGAUCUUACAUGGACGAGGAGUGGAUGCUCGAGAUGCCGACCUUGUUGGCUGAUAUGGCGGCAGGGAUGCUUUUGCCGCCACCGUCCGUACAAUGGGGACAUAAUGAUGACUUCGAAGGAGAUGUGGACAUGAACCUCUGGAGUUAUUAAUACUCGUAUUUUAAAAAUUAUUUAUUGUGCAAUAAUAUUUUAUCGAAUUUCGAAUUCUGCCUUUAAUUUUUAAUGGGGAUCUUUAUUUGUGUGGGAAACGAGUGUAAAUGUUCCGCCGUGGUGUUGUCAAAAUGCUGAUUAUUUUUUGUGUGCAGCAUAAUCACGUUUGGUUUCCUUUACACUCGAAAUUUAGUUGAAAUACAAAUAGAAUAGAAAAGAGAAAGAAUGUUAUUUGAUGAAAACGGAGAAAUAAAAAAAUGGAUUCAGUAUAAAUUUUAAAGUGAUUGUAUAUUAAAAUGACAAAUAUUCACUAUUUAGAUAUAAUUUGUAAAAGAUUUUGAAAUCCAAGAGGCAAGAGAUAUUAAUUUGAAAACAUAUUUUCAAAGGUUAUAAAUCUUUUUUGAAUAGCAUAUCUCUAAGAGCAUGUUUAAUGGUAUAUCCCACAAUAGAGUCUUUUAGAUAACUUUUAUUAAUAAAAUAAUUAUAUAUUUAAAAUUUAUUUUAAUAAAAUAAAUCAUUCACAAAAUAACACAUAGAAGAAAAAUAAGAGACUAAGCUAGAGAUGUCUACAUCUCUUAAAUAAGAAAUAUAUCUUAUUUUUCUCUCAUACUUUUUACUUUUUUUAUAUUGUAAUAUUAAGAGACCUAGAUAAUAAACUUGCAUUAAACCUGUUCUGAGUAGAAACAAUAUAGGGGCACUGCAGUUAUUAGCAAAAGUUAUGGGGUAUCUAAUGGAUAGGAAAAGUUAUGGGCAUUACUAUAAAUAGCAAAAAUAUAGUGAAUGAACAGCGGAAGAUUUGGAGCAAAAGUUUCAGGAAAGUUAACACACAAAAUUAGAGAUAUGGGUUGACUUAUAUCCUAUGUAGGAUAUUUAAGUUUACCAAUUUGAUGCAUUUUUUUUUUGACAAAACCAAUUUGAUUCAUAUUAAUCUGAAUAAACUUGAUUUGAUCAUUUAUUAAACGAAUUAGAGUUUGAGGUGAUUUUGUUUAAUAGAGUGAAAAUAAUUAUAAUGAUGUCAAACACUAAUUUUAAGCAUGUGGUGUUUAGUUUUUUUUUUUUCUUUUUUUUGACGUCGCAUGUGGUGUUUAGUUUAGCUGUGACGUUAUUUAUAGUUUUAUAUAUUUGAUUUGUACUAUUUAAAAUUUAACACAGUAUGAUGUAUUAUAUAUUACUGUCUAUAGUUGAUAUUAACACGUUAUAAAAGAACGGCUCCAUCUUACCAAGUAAUUUGUAAGCUUUAUCUAUGCUUAGAAAACCCGUAGGCUGUAAUCAUUGUCAGGGUUGGCCCUAAUAUGUUUGUUAUGUAAAGCGGAACAUAUACCAUACCAAAUCAAACUUGGGUGUAGAUAAAAUGUUGUCUCAAAUAGUGUUUUAAAAACACGUGUUCUGAUUCCUAGCUUCAACGGUCUCUUAUACAGAAAUAACUAAAUAGAGAUGUUCACAGUAUUCUACUUUUAGCCGCGUGGUGAUCUCCGAUUGGUAAAUCUUUUGUCUUUAAAAUAAAAAAGAAUCACUAGGAUAUUUUUGUGAACAAACACAAAUUAACCCCGAAGAAAAUACAUGGCUUAAGAGAGCAAAAGAUAAUUUAGAUAUAUACUCGUUUAUGAUCUGCAUAUUGAUUAUGUGAAAGAAUAUUUACAAUCUUUUUGAUUCCUAUUUAUACUAAUCUCAAAAUCCAGUAUUAUUUUUCUCUUUAGCUAAACAUAUUUAGCAAAUGUAUCUUUCCUAAUCAUAAAAGGCAUAUUGUGCUGUGGGAGCUCCCCCAUAUGUCGAUCUUGAUCUUUGUCUAUAAUUUACUGGUGCAUAGUAAUAUUACUCAAUUCCAAAAUUGAUUGAAAAUCAACAAGAUCAUGAUUUAUGAGAUUAUGAGUCGAAACCAAGACUAUGAAAAGAUUGUAAAGAUUGGUUACUAUUUUAAUUUAGAAAGUUUGCCUUCAAGCUAUGACAACUUAAUCUCCGACGGAGCUGCAAGAAAAUGGUGAGUAAUUUUUAAGUUCACCGGAAAUUUGCAGAAAAUUUCCGACAAAAAGAGAUUCUCGACGAAUUUUCGGUAAGUUUGUUGGAAUUUUCUCAGAAACAAUGUGAAGUUCCGACAAAUACGUAUUUUCGGAAAUUUCUGGGUAAUAUUGUCGAAGAAUUUUGGGUUGUACCGACAAAUGAGCAUUCUCUGUGUUUGGUUGGAGUUGCAUCGGAAAGUUGACAGUAUUAAAAUAAAUUAUUUUUGUCCAUUUUCAUUGAAUUUCUAGAUAAAUGUUAGUCGGAAGUUGUCCACUACAAAAAUAAGUGCCAGUCCAUUGCAUGCAUAAAGAAAAUACAGAAAGAAAAUAAUAAUAAUAAUAAUAAUAAUAAUAAUAAUAAUAAUAAUAAUAAUAAUAAUAAUAAUAAUAAUAGCUAAACCUAAUAUUUGUGGUCAUGGGAAGCAUUAUGGCCUAGUGGUCAAGGUUUAAAAGCUUAUACACUAUGUUCGCGGUUCGAUUCUCAGAGGAAGCGUAGUUUCUUGCAUAUUAUAGUAUGCAUGCUUUUUGGAGGUUCCAGCGUGCUUUAUGUAUAGUUGUUCGGGUGGUCGUGUGCUGCAGAGAGAGCAUGUUUAUCGAAGAUGUUGUACAUGCAGAACCAUUCGUCGAUCCAAGUGUUAUGGGGAGAGCUACAUCGUGGAAUCGCUGUUCGUGAAGUUGUUCUUCAUGCUCGCAUAUGCUGCAUGUAUUGUUCUUCAAACCAAAGGUCCUUGAACCACCACCCUUGAACUCCUUGCACCACCACAAUGCAUCUCCUUCCACCACCGUCACUGCUAACUCCACCUCCACCAUCACGGCCAGGUCCAUAUCCUACAUCGGUACCAUCGCCCACUUCAUCGCUACCGUGCACCCUACACCCCACUAAUAUUUAUUGUUUUAUAGAUGUUUUAUAUUUAAUAUAUUUAUAUGUAUUGAAUAUUCAGUAAUUUUAAUAUUAUUUGAGUUUUUUUCUUUUUCUUAAUUAAAAAUAUUAAGUUGUCGUAAGUUUAUCAGGGUAUAUUUUUUCGGAAUAUCAUCAUAAUGGUCCUACCACUUUCUGACAAAUACUUCUAAUGGUAUUUGUGAUCGGAAUUUACCGAUUAUUUUCCGACAAAUGGAGUUUCUGAGACCCAAACUCCGACUAAAGUUUGAUUGUCGGAAUUUUUUCAAAACAUCUAUUACCGACCAACUUCAGAUGAAUAUGACUGUCAGAGUUUACACUUUAUUCUUGUAGUGAUAAAUAUAUUAUUUGCAUUUAUGCUUAUUUUAGUUUAUAUAAUGUUGCCUCUUUUGCUUUAUAAGUUUAAUGUAAUUUGUAAUACAAUUCAGACUGAAAUACUCUCAAACUACCGUUUUGAACCUUACGUUGAUAUGAGAAGCUGAAAGAGCUAGUCGCUUUCUGGAAAAACUACCUUGCCCAGAGUUGGACGCAGUAGCGGCAUUGGGUACAAGUUGUAGAAGCAUGUGCUUCCGGCCAUUUUUUAAAUAUGUUAUAUUUCGGCCUUUGAGUUGUAAAAAUCUCAGGUAGCAUAGUUGGUUUAUGCUUUGUUUAAGCGUGUUCUGUAUAUGCUAGGUUCAACGUUCUUCUCCAGCAUUUCUAUUUUUAUUAUUAUUUAGUUACUAAAUAAUAGGCCCAUAAUUUUUUUUUUGCUUCCAACCCUUUAUUUUUACUGACAUGACCUGGUUGGACAAAUUUUUUUAUGUUUCAGAACCCUGCAUUGUGCCCCAACCGGCAACAUUAUAGCACAUUAUUGUUUUAUGAUAUAAUAAAUUAGAUGAUUUUCUAAUCUAAAACCAAUUGAUAAUAAAUGUAUUAAUUUUAUAUGCUAAUUUUUUUAAAACUUUCGAUGUGAAACUUUAUUUCUAAUAUGCCUUUUGGACAUGAUGAUCUUUUAACCAUUAAUUUUGAAAUAUUAAGCAAGAACACAAAUUUUAGGUUGGAACGAAUAUGAAUCGGAUUAGAUUGCGUAUAUCAGGCUGUGGUAUUCUAUUAGAUUAGAUGAAUUGACAACAUAAAAUCAAUUGAUAAUAAAUAGAUUGAUCAAUUUUUAUAUAUUAAUUAGUUAAUAGGUUUUCCAAUUUUCUUAUGUGUGAUUUUGUUUCUAGUAUGACAUAAUUUGUUUAUAUGCUAGUAGUUUAUAUGGUGUCAUUUUGAUUGAUUGUGACGAGUCUCUGGCUGAAUUCAAACAUUUUAAUGGCUGGUUCUGUGGCGACAGACAAAAACUGUAUAUUCAGGGCGUACCAUGUUUUCUCUGGGGUACAAAACUGUUAGGUUAUUUAUCCUACAAAGAGGAAAUAAACACUUUGCACACUUGGAAAAGUGACCCACACAUCAAAACUCAAAAGUGACUAGUAUAAUAUACAUAUUUAAAAGAAUGCUCUUAUAUGUGUGUAUGAUAACAACUGAAAACAAAAUGAGAGCACUUAUGAUAUCUUUCUCGCAGAUCUUUUAGGUCAAUUUGUUUCUAGAUGGUUUAUCAAUGAUGGAAUUUUGUUUAUACAGGGAUGUUAAUAGUUAUAUACAGGAUUGCCCUACACAAACACAGCCACACACUCACUCAGGACAGGUCAAAAACUCUCAUAAAGGUUUAACGAGUGAAGAGUCAGCAGCCAAGCCAAAAGGGUCAAGAUGACACGUGGCAUGCAGCAUGCUAGUGAAUGAAUACCCCGGUCGAGAGACAAGGUGACUGGCCUUAAAGAAACAUUUGUCAAAAGAGGUUUCCGAAAAUGGAAAAUAAAACCGAAGCAACCGCUUUCAGCAAACCGCGAAUUUAAUAGAGACCAAAACGGUAUUCCAAAAACAGAAAGAUGGGUCCUAUUAUCCUAUAAGAGAGCUCAUGGCCCCGUGGCUUAAAUAUUAGUUCUAAUACUAUCACGUCACCUUCAAGCCUUACUUUCUUGUUAAGAAAAUCAUUUUCUUGUGUCAUUUUUUUUUCAUCAUUCAUCACCACUAGUUUUUGCCCUUUAUGUUUUGUCGUCUUGUUUUUUUUCUCCGAAGGUGUCUCUAUACUCAAUAGUGAGUAGCGUGUGGGAAUUGAGAGUGACGUUCCUUUGUAUAAGAUAUUCUAUAUUGAGAUACUUUUUUUUAACUAUAUUAAAGAUCUUUCUCCACCACGUGAAUAUAUUGAAGAGAAAUUUGAGCAUAUAACAAAAAAAACAUCUAUAUUUCACCAACUAACCAUAUAACUCUCUGUCUCCUAUUUUUCUUUAUAUCUCUCUCUAUCCUCUUACUCCAAAACUAAUAUUUUUUCCCAAUAUAGUCAUUCAGUAAAUUAAUCCUAUAUUUAAUCCACAAGUUUUUUUUGGAACAAGAACCACAAUUUUUUAUUGAUAAUAUUUGAAUUAUCUUAUCGAUAUUUGACCAAACAAAAAAAAAAUUUUAUUGGUAUAAUGGAUAUUCAAGUUAGAUUGUGUAGAUAAGAUUUGAUAUUCUAUUAAACUAGACAAACGGUCAACUAAAAAAACUUAUAAUGUGUGACUUUGGUAUAAUAUGACCGAAUUUCAUUAUAUGCUAGUAGUUCAUAUGGUGAUUUUGAUCGAUUGUGACGAGUUUCUGGUUGAAUCCCCUGCAUACACUUUAAUGGCUGGUUCUGAGGAAACAAACAAAAACGGUAGGACUUGUCAAAUUAUCUGAGGUAGAAAAAUACUAGGUUAUUUAUUCUUCAAAUGUGAAAAUAAACGUUUUUGUACCCUUGGAAAAGUGAAUCACACAUCAAAAGUGUCUAUUAUAUGACAUUUUUAAAAGAGUGCUCUUAUAUAUGAUACCAACUCAAAACAAAUAGAGUACUUUAUGAUAUCUUUUUUCUUAGAUCUUUAGGUCCAUUAUUUCUAGAUGGUUGAGCAAUAAUGACAUUUUGUUUAUUCAUGGAACUAGUUAAUAGAUAAAUACAGAGUUGUCCUACACAGUGCACACCACAAACACAGCCACACAUUCCCACAAUAAAGGUUUAACGAGUAAAGAGUCAGCAGCCAUACCAAAAAGGUCAAUAUUACACGUGGCGGCCUAUUAAUGAAUGAAAAACGCAUUCACACAAAACCGUGGGACCAUUAUAGCGUGGUCCUGUCCAGUUGGCACUCCCAGAGCCAAAAACACCGUGUUCUUUUCUAAAAACCAGCCCCACCCAUUUCCAAAUAUCUCAUGCCAAUAUAAACACCAACUCUCGCUCCACUUUUCUCAAACCACAAACUUUUAACUCUACCUGAAAAGAAGAUAAAAGAGAGAGAAAUAAAUAUCUUAUCAAACCAGUCAGAACAGAGAUCUUGUUACUUACUAUACUACACUCAGCCUUAUCCAGUUUUCAAAAAAAGUAUUCAACUAUGAACUCAGUCUCUACUUUUUCUGAACUGCUCUGCUCCGAGAACAAGUCUCCGGUUAAUACGGAAGGUGGUGAUUACAUUUUGGCGGCGAGCUGUCCCAAGAAACCUGCUGGUAGGAAGAAGUUUCAGGAGACACGCCACCCCAUUUACAGAGGAGUUCGCCUAAGAAAGUCAGGUAAGUGGGUGUGUGAAGUGAGGGAACCAAACAAGAAAUCUAGAAUUUGGCUCGGAACUUUCAAAACAGCUGAGAUAGCAGCUCGUGCUCACGACGUCGCCGCCUUAGCUCUCCGUGGAAGAGGCGCCUGCCUCAACUUCGCCGACUCGGCUUGGCGGCUCCGUAUCCCAGAGACAACCUGCGCCAAGGAUAUCCAGAAGGCUGCUGCUGAAGCCGCAUUGGCUUUUGAGGCCGAGAAGAGUGAUACCACGACGAAUGAUCGUGGCAUGAACAUGGAGGAGACGUCCGCGGUGGCUUCUCCGGCUGAGUUGAAUGAUACGACGGCGGAUCAUGGCCUGGACAUGGAGGAGACGAUGGUGGAGGCUGUUUUUAGGGACGAACAGAGAGAAGGGUUUUACAUGGCGGAGGAGACGACGGUGGAGGGUGUUGUUCCGGAGGAACAGAUGAGCAAAGGGUUUUACAUGGACGAGGAGUGGACGUUCGAGAUGCCGAGGUUGUUGGCUGAUAUGGCGGAAGGGAUGCUUCUGCCUCCCCCGUCCGUACAAUGGGGACAUAACGAUGACUUCGAAGGAGAUGUUGACAUGAACCUCUGGAGUUAUUAAUAUUCGUUUUUUUAAAUUUACUUUUGGACGAUAAUAUUUUAUUGAAUUUUGGAUUCUACCUAUUUUUUAAUGGAUAUCCUUUUUCUGGUAGUGUGAGAAACGAUUGUAAAUGUUUCCACAAAUGUGUUGUCAAAUGCUCAUGAGUAUUUUUGUGUGCAGCAUAAUCAUCUUGGUUGCCUUAUAUGCAACAAUUUUUUUUAAACAAAUAAAUUUUACUGUAAAUUUAAAAUAAAAAUAAAAAAGGAAGGAGAAAGAAUUAAUGCUACUAAAUAAAAAUGGACUCACAAUUUUUUUUAAACGAUCUUAUAUAUUAAAACAGAAGUCACAACCUUGAUUCAUGUGUGAUUUUUUUAAAUGGACCCUCAUUAGAAAUCAGUUAUCAUUCAUUUAUUACUAAUAAUAUGGAUUAAUAAUAUAUCAUUCAUAAUAUAACAUCGACUCCUAAAAAUCCGGAUUGGUUAACAAACUCACCUUGAUUCAUGUGUGCCAUUUUUAUUUAGAUCAUCAUUUAAAUUUUUUAUUAAAUAUAUUUCCUUAAUGCUAAUAUAUAAUUUUUUAACUACAUAAAUCAUAGUAUAAUUUGAUAUCUUUUAAUUUAAAAUAUAAAUAUAUAUAGUUAAUUUUCUUAACGAAUGUGUUGAAAAACAUUAUAACAAUAUCGUAAUUAUCAAAAAUUGUAUAUAAAUAUUUUCACUAAUUUUGUAAUUAGUAAUGAAGUUAAUGUUAUUAUACAUUAAUAUAUAUAUAUAUAUAUAUACUCAGUUAUCUUUUAUAAAAUGAAAAAAAAUUAUAUCAAAUUUUACUAUUUUAUAGUUAUAUCUAUCAUUUUAAAAUAAAUCAUUGUAUUUAACUAAAUAUGAUAAAAUUAUUUUAAACUGAUAAAUAAAUAUAUUUUAUUUUCAUAAACAUUAAAAAUUUAUGCUAGAAAUAUAAUAUGUUGGUAGAACGGGUUAACAUUAGUAAAUUAUAUAAUUCAUGUAUAAAAUUAACUUAUCUUAAACUUAUAUAUAUAUAUAUAUAUAUAGUUAUUAUCUUAAAUGAAUAAACAUAAAAAAAUAUUGAUAAAGGAAAUCUAGCGCUUUAAAUUACGGAUCAAGAUCAUAAUAAUUGAAUAAAAAUAAUUUUAAAAUAUAUAUAAUAAAAAAUAACAAAUAUAUGUGAUGAUUUGAAAUAAUCAAUUAACUUACAGCAUGAAAACUAUCAAAUUGUUAUAUUUAAAAUAAUUAUAUAUAAACAUUUAAAUAUAUAAGCAACUUUAAAUAUAUAUUCUAAUUAUGUAAAAUAUAUAUAAGCAUGAAAAUUAACACCCGCACGAUUGUGCGGGUCCAAAUCUAGUUUUGUGUUAAAAUGACAAAUGCUUCCAUUAUUUAUAUAUAAAUGUAAAAAAUUAGAGCGCCUAUGUAAUUAUGUAUGAUAUUUAAUUAAGUUGACCAAUUUGAUUCAUAUUAAUCUGAAUAAACUUGAUUUGAGAAUAAAUAACGAAUUAGAGUUGGAGGCGAUUGUUUAAUAGAGUAUAAAAAUGAAAAUAAAUAUAAUGAUGUCUAACACUAAUUUUAAGCAAUGUGGUGUUCAUUUUAGUUGUCUUGUUUCUAAUUUUAUUUAAUAGUUGUAAGCUUGUAAUGUAUAUACAAUACAAAUCGUUUUGUAAUUAGAAAAAGUGUGUGUGUUUUCUUUUCUUUUUUUGGUAAAAAACUGUUCUAGAUAAUUUUUUAUAGUAAUUAGACUCCACCACAACCGGUGUCCUAAAUCCAGAAUUUUUUUUAUAAAGUUUUUUGGAAAGUACUCAUAGUACCAUCCGCUGACAUAAAAUUGAACAUGCGAUCUCUAACAAUCGUCUGUGAAAAAAAAGAUCACUGGAUAUAACCACUUCUCGAAACAUCGCUUGUGUUUUGAUAUCUACAAAACUCUAACAAGUAGCUUAAGUAUAGCUUGAUAGCAGUUUUGUGAGAACAUAAAAUUCAACAAUGCUUUAAAUAGUGUUAGGCAAUAGGCAUUUGCUUAGGAGGUGUUAGUCGGAAUUGGAUUUAAAAUGAAUUUUAUAAUUUUCAAGUUUAGUGUUAUUGGUUUAUAGAUUCUUACAUUCUCAUUAAAAUCUAGUGUUAUUUGUUUGAUGAUUCUAUAAUUCUAUACAAAAUUAUUAGUUAUUCAAAAAGUUUAGAUUUUAAUGAUUCGACAAAUCUAUUAAAGUAGGAAGUUAAAUUCUUAACAUUUAAAAUUAUAAAACAAGAUUUUGAGAAUACUACAUGUUUCCUUUGAAUUCUUAGAAUCAUUACAUUAUUUUAUUUUUAUAGAUUUUCACAAUAUACAAAAUUCUCUACAACUUUUUCAAAAUUUAACAAAUCUUUCAAUUUUUAAAACUAACAAACUCUAUAGAAAUUUUAGCUCCACUAACAUCCCUUUAAUAUUGGUUUCGUAAGAAUAUAUAGUCGAAAUUCUCUAUAUUAAAUUACUUGUAUAUUAUUUUUUCUCUUUUCAAACUUCUAACUUUGAAGAAUAUCUUCGAAAAGUCUAAAAAUGAUCGUCGUCGGAGCUUUAUUUUAAAGACUCUCGGACGUGUGACAAGGUGACUGGCCUUAAAGAAACAUUUGUCAAAAGAGGUUUCCAAAAAUGGAAAAUAUAACCAAAGCAACCGCUUUCGGCAAACUGCGAAUUUAUUAGAGACCAAAACGGUAUUCCAAAUUUCCAAGAACAGAAAGAUGGAUCCCAUAAGAGAAGCUCGUGGGCCCGUCAAAAUAUCCUAAACCGUGGCUUGACAGCGGAAACACUUCCCUUUCGGCGUUUCCCUUGCACUUGUGCCCUACGGGGCUCACUAUCACGUCACCUUCAAGAUUUUUGAGCAAGAACCCCAAAAUUUAUUCCAUAGAUAAUAUUGAGAUUUGAUAUAUUUUAUAAAUAUAUGACCAAACAAAAAGAGAUAUUUUAUUGAUAUUAUCAUAUAAUCGAUAUUUGAGAGUGACGUAAAUCUUGCUAAUGUCUCAGUCUAAUCCCUGGCUUAAGACGAAAGAAAGUAGCUUCAUUUGUAAUUUGGUACAAUAUGUCUUUUUUUAACAACUGGUACAAUAGGUCUAAUAUUAUUAUUGUUAUUAUAUCACACCAACUUAGUACGCAAGAAAUAUCUGGCUGGAAUAAGUGACAAACACAAUCGAAUGCCAUAUUCUAUUUUGACUUCAGAAUGAAUCCAUAUUGUGUGUAUACCUUAUAAAAUUAUUUUUAUAAUCCAUAUCAUUAAACAAGUACGAAAAGAAUAGAUAACAUGGGUUUUUUCUAUUGUAUAUUCUUUUAUUUAUCGUGUUCAAAAAAAUAUUGUUUUAUUUAUCUUUUCAAUCAUUUAACUGGUUUGCUUUAUUUAUUUUAUAGGCAAUUUCUCAAAUAGAUUUUUUUUAAAAAAAUUGUCAAAGAAAUAGACUCCAAAACUAAAAUGACCAAAAUAUCAUUUUUAAUUUUGAAUUUUUUUUUUUUAAUUUUUUAAUUUUUAAAAUUUGAAAUCCUAUCCUCAAAACCCCAUUCCUCAACUCUAAAUCCUAAAUCCUAAAUUCUAAAUCCUAAACCCUAAAUCUUACCCCUUAACUCUAAAUCUAAAUGUCUAGAUUAAUUAAUCUGAGGGGUAUAAGUGUAUAUUUAAUUCUUUUGAUAAAACUUUCAAGUCUAUUUUGGUCAUUUUUAUUUUUAAGAUCUAUAUUUGUGACAAAAAAAGUUUUAGAUCUAUCUUAAAUAUUUUUUCUUUAUUUAUCUCAAACAAAAUUUUUACUUUUCUGUCUAGUGUUUUUUUGGCAUCUGACUAUAUAAGUUGGUUCCUACGUUCAGUACUCUUUCCUUAUGUGACUAGUAAUAUUAGUAUACAGAAAUUAGUAUUUAUGGUAAUUCAGGCGAAACCAUAACCAUUUGCCAGAGUUGCCCCUAAUAUGUUUGUUAUCUAAAGUGGAACAUGAAAAAAAGCAAAUACACCUUACUGAAUAAAAUUUGGGUGUAAAUUUUAUGAUGGGUUUGAAUUCAUAAACCAUUUGGGAUAUUUACACCCAAAUUUUAUUCAGUAAGGUGUAGUUGCCUUUUUUCAUGUUCCACUUUAGAUAACAAACAUAUUAGGGGCAACCCUGGCAAAUAGUUAUGGUUUCGCCUGAAUUACCAUAAAUACUAAUUUCUGUAUACUAAUAUUACUAGUCACAUAAGGAAAGAGUACUGAACGUAGGAACCAACUUAUAUAGUCAGAUGCCAAAAAAACACUAGACAGAAAAGUAAAAAUUUUGUUUGAAUUCUAAUAUGCAUGUGCUUACAAAUGGUUUAUGAAUCUAUGAUGGGUUUGAAUUCUUGCCAUUAGCUCGUGUAAUGUGACUCCGUUAUGAUGUGUGGAAGUAUACAAGCAGAGCCGGCCUUGAGAACAAGCGAAAGAAGCACAUGCUUGCGGCCACCAUUUUAUUAAGUAUUUAACUGGCCACAAUUUUUUAAAAAUUGUCCGUAGUGUUGUGGUUUAGUUACACUUGAUCAAUACGUCAGCUCAUGGUUUCAAUGCCCCUCAAGAGCAAUGUUUUUUUUUCAGCCAUUUUUUUUUAUUUGGGCUUGUGGCCUUAACAGGCCUAGGGUCGGCUCUGUAUACAAGCAUGGUUGAAGCUUUGAAGGCGAGUCAACCUUCCUUUCAUUUCUAUUCCUUUAAUUCAUUGAAGUCCAGACGAUGAAAGUUCCCUCUUCAAGCUCCUAUCUUCAACUGUCUCUUAUACAUACAACAUGUAGCUAAAUGUCUAGGUGUUCGUAAUAUUCUAUUUUUUGACUUGACAAUCUCCAAUUAGUAAAUAUUUUGUGAUUUUUGUUUUGAGAUUAUUAGGAUAUCAACGAGAUCAAAAUUGAUGAGAUUAUGAGUCGAAAUAGAGAAAAAUUAUGAAGAUUUGCCAAAAUCUCAAAAUAGGAAGUUCAUGUUCAUGCAUUAAGAUAUUAUUUACAUUGAUGUGUAUUUUAAUUUUGAAAACUUUGUCUCUUUCUCGCUUAAUUUGUUAAUGUAACUUGUAACACAAUUCAGACUGAAUUACUCUCAAAUUGAUUUACACUCUAAACUGCUUUGAACCUUCAGUUGACAUUAGAAGCUGAAGGAGCUAGUCACUCACCCACCCUCCGGACAAAUUGCCUUGGCCUGAGUCGGAUGAACCAUCUUCUGUCUCUUUGGUGUUUUUCAAAACCCUGCUUCUUUUUCCAUUGCAACGAACCUGAAAAAGAAACAUAACGUAUCUUUGACUAAAUACCAAAAUAUAAUAAAUUAAGCAUUUGAGUUAAUUAUUCAUAUACUAUAUAUUUACUUUAAGUACUUAAUAAUAUUUUAGAGUAUUUUGGUUACUUAUUUGGGAUUCGAUUCGGUUUGGCAUAAGUUUCUUUUGGGAUUUUGAAUUUGUGAAAUUUUUCAAAUAUUCAUUCGGGUUUGAAUUUAAUUCGGACAAAACUCAUAACCUAAAAUGCCACAGAACAAGAUUCAUUUUCUAUUUAUUUCGAUUCUGUUCGGAUUUAUUUUUAUUCAGUCGAUGCGGUUUAAGUUUUCAAAUUUGUUUUAUUUGCGCACCCAUAGUUAUAUGAUCUUUUGUAAAUAGCAUUUCUGUAAACAGAGACAAUAUAGGGGCACUUAAGUUAUUAGCAAAAGUUAUGGAGUAUCUAAUGGAUACAAAAAUUUAUGGGCAUUAUUAUAAACUAGCAAAGAUAUAUGGAGCGUAAAUGAAUAGCGAAAGAUUUUUUAAGCAAAAAAAAAUAACAAUAGUUUUUGAGCAAGAGGUACAGGAAACUCAACAAAUAUCAAAAGUUCUAGGAAAAUUAAUACUUAUUUUUUUCAAGUGAAAAAUUUAAGGGUAAUACAAUAUAUAUUCUAACCUUUACUUUAUUAGUUUACUCUAGACAGUUACUACUACAAAUCAUAAUACAACGGUAAAUUAAGUCAUAUUUUUUGCCUAGAUUUUUGAAACAGCUAAUAUAUUGAAAUAAAAUAAAAAUUCUAAAACAUUAUUUAUAAAUAACGGAGGGAGUCAUAAAAGAUAACUACUAGACAACUACAAAGAAAUGAUGACAACAAAUUCUAAGAUCAGCCAAAAGCCAAGAUGUAAAAAAGAAAAUAGCCUCGAGCAGUCCAAAGAGCAGAGCACAUCGAUCUCCCAAACGGAUAGGAAGCAGGUCGGAGAAACUUCUGAGAAACAUGUAGAUGACCUGAAAUAAACUUCUAUCCAAAGAGCUAAAGCAUCAAUGUGGAGGAUCCUCAAAGUUCACGCAGUUACCAGCCGGAACUUACAUCAGUCCAUCCAUAUUGUAGCACAGUUAAACACAUAUAGAUCUUCAAGGGGAUCCGGAAGAAGACUCUGAAUAUAAACUAAAACUGAAGCCAUUCCACAGAAACUUACACUCGAACAAGGCUGACAAGAAUUCAUAUGAAUCAACCAAUAACUGAAGAUGAGGUGUUGCGAUUGGAAUGAAGAGCUAUGAGACCUCUGAUGCCUUGCUUGAAAGACUGCCAAACCAAACCCAAACAAUGAAGACCCCACAUCUGAACCGGCUAAGUACUUCCACCACAAACCAGAAAAAAGAUAAGGUUUAACAAGGGCAGUCCAAACCAAACAGAGAACACCAGUAGAACCAAAGCUACUUCACUGAAAACCUCAACAGAGCAUAAAACCGAAGAGAAACCCAUCGCACAAUCAGGUUAAUCUUGAUUCACAAAACUUAACAGACCCGAAACCAAGCAACCAACACACUCAUCUUGACUGCAAGAGAUAAAAAUACUACAAACCAAGCCACAACCUGUGAUAAGCGAGAGACAGAGGCCAUCCGACAUCAUCGAUCCAAACUCAAUCCCAUUCGGAUCUACAUUCAGCUUCCCCAUCACUCACAGGCGGAAAGAGCACGCCAUGACACAGAAGCCGACCUCACCGAAGACGAAACAUCGUCCAGCCACCGCUCUAAUACCCAAAGCACCACCAUCGUCGGAUAAACCUCCAUCACCAGCCACCACCGUCGAAACUCAGAUGACUACAUAAGACCGAUUACUAGAAAAGAGAGAACAUGGAGGUCCACUCACAGCACGGCGAGGAGCGCCGGCCGGAGAAGACCUCAGAUCUAGAAGAUGAAGCUGAGGCGGCGCUCGGGUUGGGAGAGAGAGUUUCUGGAAAGAUUUUGAUCUCUGCCGGCUUCUGGCUCUGGAAGGAAAGUGUUCCUUGCUGGCUUAUGUGUAUUCGACUGCAUUUCACCUGUUUUAAUAUUAAUCCAACAGAUGAUAAAAAAAAAAUAAUAACGGAGGGAGUAAAAACCUAGAGCUAUGGUUGACUUAUAUCAUAUGUAUGAUAUUUGGGUUGGCAAUUUUGAUUCAUACUAAUCUGAAUAAACUUGAUUUGAGGAAAAAAAUUUAGGAGUUAUAGUUGGAGGCGAUUUUGUUUAACAGAGUAUAACAAAAUGAAAUAAAUAUAAUGAUGUCAAAAACUAAUUUUAAACAAUGUGAUUUCUACAUUAGUUGCGUUAUUUUUAACUUUAUAUUGUAUAUUAUAUUACUAUUUAAAAUUUAAUUAAAUAUGAUGUAUUAUAUAUUUUAUAUUACGGUCUAGAGUUGAUAUUGACACGUUAUUAAAAAAAGUCGGCUCCAUCUUACCAAGCAUAUGUAAGUUUUAUUUUUAUUUGAUAUUUUUGAGUUGUAAGUUUGAAAAGAAACUGAAAAUUAAUCUGCAAAUAUUAUAAUUUAUAAAUCUACUCUAAAUAUAUAAACUAAUAUUAUACUUUACGAAAAAAAUAUAUCUACUCUAAAUAAAGCAACGAUAUAGAUUACAGUACUUGUAUACUCUAAUUUCUCUUCUACUUGGGUUCUACUUUCAAACUGGUAACUUUGAAGAACAUCUUUGAAAAGUUUAAAGAUGAUCCUGGGACCUUUAUCCGGUCGAGUGAUAAGGUGACUGGCGUUAAAGAAACAUUUGUCAAAAGAGGUUUCUGAAAAUGGAAAAUAUAACCGAAGCAACCGCUUUCAGCAAACCGCGAAUUUAAUAGAGACGAAAACGGUAUUCUAAAAACAGAAAGAUGGGUCCCAUAAGAGAGCUAGUCAUGGGCCCGUCAAAAUUUCCUAAACCGUGGUUUAACAGCAGAAACACUGUCCCUACGGGCUUCCCUUUCCCUUGCACUUGUGCCCUACGGGGCCCCACUCACAUCGCCUUCAAGCCUUACUUUCUUGUUAAGAAAAUUAUUUUCUUGUGUCAUUUUUCCGAUCACCACUAGUUUUCACCCUUUAUGUUUGUCGUCUUGUUUUUUCUCCGAAGGUGUAGCUAUACUCAAUAGUUACUAACGUGUGAGAGGUGAGGUGAGUGGCGCCGAGAGAGACGUUUCUUGUAAGCGAAUAUAUGUUAGGAAAGAUACUCUAUAUUGAGAUACUAUUUUUGAUUUUACUUUAUUAAAUGAUUUGAUUUAAACCACAAGUUUUUGAUCUGAGCAAGAACCACAUGUUUUUUCAUGGAUAAGAUCAAAUUUGAGAUAUUUUAUAGAUGUUUGACCAACCAAAAAGAAAUAUUUAUUUUAUUGAUAUAAUUGAGAGGUGAGAGUAACAUAUACCUUGCUAAUGUAUCGGUCUGAUCCAUCAGCCAUAGCUUUAGACCAAACUAGUUUCAUUUGUACAAUAUGUCUAGUACUAUUUACAUCAGUAUACGACACCAGUUUAGUGGUCUUGGCGAGACGGACAGGACGGCUGAUCUUGCCAUCUUGGCGAGAGGGCGAGACCUUUAGAAACAUCAGACUGGGGGUAAGUGACAAACACAAUCAAAUACCAUAUUUUAUUUCAACUUCAGAACUAAUCCAUAUUGUGUGCUAAAUACCUUUUUAUUAUAUAUAUAUCAUUGUUAAACAAGUACCAAAAGGAUAGAGAACAUGUGGGUUUAUAUUGGCUUGGGUCAAGCUAACGCCAUUAGAUAUACAUUAUAUGGCCAGUCGUCUUUCAAUGUUAUAUCACCAUGUUGAAAAUCAAAUUUCAUGUGACGAAGAGACAGCUUUAGUUAUCAUUUCAAUCAUUUUACUGUUUUCGAAGAAUCAAAUGAAACGUUACUUUACUAUAUAUUUUUUGGUAUCUGGCUAUUUUGGUUCUUAUGUUCAAUACCUUAGCACUCUUUUUCGUAUGUCAGAAUUAAUAUUAGAAAUAUCGAUUUGUUUCACAUGAUAUGCAGUCUUUAGAAUCACUCUCUUAUGAAACUUUAAAGUUUCGUCGGUAGGUAGCUCACGUUUUUUUUGGUCAUCCAAUUAAUUUUCGUCGUAAUUUCACACGAGGCUAUACUUUUCACACAUAUGAGUAUGGUAGACAGCGGACGACCAGUAACUAUGGAAUAUGUGUGAAAGGGGAAAUAGAUUUCUACGGGAUCUUGACGGAGAUUAUUGAAGUCGAAUUUCCAGGGAUAUUGAAGCUGAAAUGCGUCCUCUUCCAAUGUGAAUGGUUCGAUUCCGUCGUCACAGAGGUGUUCGGUCUAACAAAUUCGGUGUAGUUGAUGUCAACGGUGGACGAAGGUACAACAAAUUCGAGCCUUUCAUCUUAGCUUCACAAGCAGACCAAGUUAGCUUCCUUCCAUACCCUCGAAUGAGAGAUUCGGGUAUAAAUUGGUUAGCUGUGAUCAAAGUUACACCUCGAGGACGAAUUAUCAGUGGAGAAGAACCACCAUUGCAAGAAGAACAGAUAAAUGAAGUCGAGGAACCUGAACAAGAAAUUGAUGACAUCCUUCUCAUUGAUCCGCAUAAUCACGAGUACGAAGAUCUUACCGACGAUGCCACAGACGAAGCUGUUGAAGACGAGUUUAAUGAAAAUAAUGAUGUUUCUAGUGAUGACGAGAAUGUUGAUGUAUCCGAUUGAUGUAUUUGAUUUUAUGUAUUUUGUUUUAUGAAUAAGAUAAUGUGGGAGUUUGAUUUAUGAAUAAGGUAAUGUGAAAGUUUAUUUUAAUUAUGAAUAAGGACUUGUGGUUUGGGGUUUGGAAUAUUUUAUAAAUAGGGUUUGAGGUGAAAGAAUAGAUUGAGGUUCAAGGGUAGAUGGGUUUGGGGUUUGGAAUAUAUGAAGUAGAAGAUAAGGAAGAUGGGGUUUGGGGUUUCGGAUUUUAGGGAUUUAUACGUAAUACUCGUUAAUUCCUCGUAAGCCAAAAUCGUCGUAAGGUUGUCGUAAGGCCACGAGGAGUUUACGACGAAAUUAAAAAAAAUAAAGAAAGCGGGGCACGCUAAUUCCACGCAAGCCAAAAUCGUCGUAAGGUUGUCGUAAGGCCACGAGGAGUUUACGACAAAAUUAAAAAAAAAAUAAAGAAAGCGGGGCACGCUAAUUCCACGUAAGACUCUCUGAGUGAAUGAAAAUAAGGAAUUGUGGUUUGGAAUGAAAAUAAAGAUAGGGUUUGGAAUAUAUGAAGUAGAAGAUAAGGAAUAUGGGGUUUGGGGUUUGGGGUUUCGGGUUUUAGGGAUUUAAAUGGAAUACUCGUUAAUUCCUCGUAUGUUAACGUCGAACUUACGACGAAUUCCUCGUAAAUACCACGUAGGACAGAUUCGUCGUAAAUACCACGUAGGACAGAUUCGUCGUAAAUACCACGUAGGACAGAUUCGUCGUAAAUACCACGUAGGACAGAUUCGUCGUAAAUACCACGUAGGAGAGAUUCGUCGUAAAUACCACGUAAAGUAAAUGAUGAACGCGGCCCACUUUAAUUCCACGUAGGACGGAAUCGUCGUAAACACCUCGUAACCAAAAUCGUCGUAAACACCUCGUACCGUAAAAACUAGAAAAAAAAAAAGAAGAAAAAAUAUACUGGAUUUACAUGUGGCAAGACUUCCAGCAAUUAUAUUACUUAAGUCUCACCAACAUAAAUUCCAAUAUCUUCUUCUCUUCCUUUUUUUUCAAAUUUUUAUAAUUUGAAUAGGAUUGGAUUUGAGAGUAUGAAGUGAGAUAGGGUGUGAUUUGGGAGUUUGGGUGUGGGUUGAGAAGGAGAGUUACGGGUAUAUUUAUAGGGAAGCUUUCCUCAGUAAUUCCACGUAAGCAAAAUCGUCGUAACGUCCUCGUACCUAAAAAACACGGGCCUUUGUAAUUCCUCGUAACUUCCUCGUAUAAUAAAACGCGGGCCUUUGUAAUCUCUCGCUGUUUCGUCGUAAAAAAAAACACGGGCCUCUGUAAUUCGUCGUAAAAUUACGAGGAAUUUGCGACGGAAUGUAAUCUUAUAUAUACACCCCGAGCGCUCACUCUUUCUUUCCUCUCUACUUCCUCUCCACUUCCUCCCUGUUUCGUUGCAAUGGUAAGUCUCUCUAAUUCCUCUCUAAUUUGGUUAGUUUAGGUAGAUUAGGCGGUUAGUAUAGGGAAUUUAGAUAAGUUUACGGAUCUUAUGUUAUUUAGUGUUGAUUAGGUGGAUAAUGUUGGAAAAUAUACUGUUGACGGAAAUUUAAAAAAUUAAAAUUUUUUCUCAGGUUCGAAAAGGUAGACUUACUGCCCAUUACAAAGAGAUGUUCGGUGAGCCAGGUAGUCACCAACCGACGACUCACAUGCCGAGGCGGAUGUAACGGCGAGGAGUGAUGAAUUCUACCGGGCGAUUAACGACCCUUAGUUCUUUUUAAUUUCGGUUCUUGUAUUAUGAAUUCAAAACUUAUUUAUAUAUAAAAUAUUUUGGUUUUGAUUUUUUUAGAAUUUUAAUUUUAUUAAUAAUUUAAAUAAUUUUUUUAAUUAUAAUUUUUUUUAUUUUUGUAAAAUAACGAAACGAAGUAAUUUCGUAGCUAUUUUGCGACUUCUUUACGUGGAAGCUUAACGAGGUUUUUACGAGGAAAUGUUUACAAGGAAAUGACGUGGAAAAUUCACGUGGUCUUUACGAGGAAAGCUAUCAAGAUAUUUACGUUUACUUUACGAGUAUUUACUUUCGAGUUAUUUACGUGGCUUUAACGAGGAAUGGCUUUCGAGGUAUUUACGAGGAAAUUUAGCGACGUCCUUACGUGGAAGCUUUACGUGGUCUUUACGACGAAAUAUUCUUCUUCGCUUUUCGACGAAAUUAUUUCCUUGCUACGCUACGACGAAUUAGCGAGGAUAUAUGCGUUACGACAAACGUAUAACGACGAAACGGGUUUCCUCGCUAAUUCCUCGUAACACUGCUUUUACGACGAAAUCACGAGGAAAACUGCCCUCGUAAAACUUGUGUUUUCUUGUAGUGUUUGUGUAAAACUGGGAAUAUAUUUGUUAUCUAAAACGGAACAUGAAAACAAAACCAAAAGGAAAAUACAACUUACUAAAUCAAACGUGUAAGUAAAGGUUUUCCCAAUGCAGUCUUUUUUUUUUCCCAAUGCAGUCUUGCCAUUUUCUCUUGUAAUGUGACUCCGUUCUGAUGUGUACAAGCAUGGUUGAAGCUUUGAGGGCAUGUCAACCUUUCUUUCGCAUCUAUCCCUUGUACUCAUCGGAGCCUAAACGAUGAAGUGUUUAAUUUUUAACUACAUAUUUAAUAUCCAAUGUUUUAAUUUGCCUCUUUCCAUAUUAUCUAUUCAUUAAGAACCCUAAUAUUUGACGGCUUCUCUCUCCAACACCUCUCUUUGGUAAAGGCUUGUAGCCUUUACAUCAAUUCAGUUGAAGUCUGAUCUCUAAUGAGGACAAUCACAUAACACGUACGGGGGAUCCAGACUGACAUACUCUCAGAUUCAAACUCUUAACUGACGUAACACUUCCACUGAUUGAUAUGAGAAGCUGAAGGAGCUCGUCAUCGUCUGGAAAAUAUUACAUUGGCAUUAGUCCUCUUCUGUCUCUGCAGUGCUUUUCAAAACCAUGCCUCUCUUUUCGUUGCGACCAACCUGAGAACAGCAACAACAGCGUAUUGUACGAUAUAUGGCGGAAUUUGCUUGUCUGCUGGGUAGUUUAUAUGAUUAUUCUUUGUGCGACGAGUCUCUAGUUGAAUUCAUACACUUUUAAUGGCUGGUUCUGUGGCAACAAAUAAAAACGGAAGCAUUUCAGUUUAUGGUAUAUGACAAGCGGUAUUAAGAAAUUGAUUUGAGUAUUUAUGUGAUAAAAGUGAAAUUUGUUAAACUAUAAUCUAAUCUCUCCUUGAUACAUUUACAUAAGUUAGUUAUUUAUGUUAUUACACAAAGAGUUGUAACUCUUCAAGUUGUGUCCUUUAGUAUAAAGAGUUGUGUCUCUUAUACUUGUAUUGAUUCGACCUCUAUAUAAAGAUCAAUCAUCUGUUGUAAACACAAUACCGAAUCUCAAUAAUACAAAAGUAUUUUCAGAAAAGUUUAUAAGCCUGAAACGUCUAUCUUAUUCUUUCUCUCGAACUCGUGUGUAACACACUGUGAUCGUUGUGUAACACAAGCAGUUGGUAAAAGAUUAACAUGGUAUCAGAGCUUUACGUUUGAGAGGACAAAGGAAAAAGCACUAGUAAGAGAAACACUUGGCGUGGAGAAAAGGAGGCUAGAGGAUUUUGUCAUACGAUUUCGGAAUCACUCGAAACGAUGAAGAAUCAAGUAAUCCCCAUAUUUGAUGGAGAGAAGUACGACUUCUGGAGCAUCAAGAUGACAACCAUUCUCAAGACCAGGAAGUUAUGGUCUGUGGUUGAAGAAGGCGUAGCAGCCCCACCAGCACAAGUGGAUGAAACCCCUGAAACAGCAAGGGCAAGAUCGCUUAGAGAAGAAGCGAUGAUGAACGAUACAUUGGCUUUGCAAAUCUUGCAAACUGCUGUAUCGGAUCAUAUAUUCUCACGGAUUGCAGCAGCAUCAACAUCCAAAGAGGCGUGGGAUGCAUUGAAGGAGGAGUAUGAAGGCUCUCCUCAAGUUCGUUUGAUUAAACUUCAAACAUUGCGAAGGGAGUAUGAGAAUCUGAAGAUGUAUGAGAAUGAAGACAUUAAGGUCUUCACAGAUAAGAUAGUUGAAUUGGCAAAUCAAUUAACUUAUCAUGGUGAACAGAAGUCAGAUGUUCAACUCAUACAGAAGAUACUCAUCUCUCUCCCAGCCAAGUUCGAUAGCAUAGUCAGUGUGUUGGAGCAAACAAGCGAUUUGACUUCAACAAAGAUGACAGAGUUGAUCGGGAUCUUGAAGGCUCAUGAAGCAAGGCUGGCUGCAAGAGAAGAAAGCACCAGUGAAGGAGCAUUCGAUGCUCGUGUUAAACACAAAAAUUCUGGUGUUACACAAGACAACUCAAAGCGCCAAGGAGGCAAGAAGUGGUGCGGUUUCUGCAAGAGAAACAACCACAAUGAGAGCGAGUGUUGGAGGAAACAGAAGAAGGAAGAUCCAAAGAAGGAUCACAGAAGUAACAAGGAGUGUUACAAUUGUGGCAAGUUAGGCCACUUUGCAAAUCAGUGCUACUCAAAGAAGAAAGAGAAGGCACAUGUGAGUUCGAAGAAGAUUCAAAUGAAGAUCACAUGUUGUUCAGUGCGAGCGAAGCAGCAACAACAGUGAUGGAAGAUGUCUGGUUAGUAGACAGUGGAGCAACUAAUCAUAUGACAAAGGAGGAGAGUUACUUCUCAAAGCUUGAUAGGAGUAUCAAGGUUCCAAUAAAGAUUGGAAAUGGAAGCACAGUCAUGACAGCCGGUAAAGGAGACAUUACCGUCAUGACUAAAGGUGGCAAGAAGACCAUCAGAAAUGUGUUCUUGGUUCCGGGUUUGGCGAAAAAAUUGUUGAGUGUUCCACAAAUUGUUUCAAGCGGAUACCGGGUGAGUUUCCAAGAGAAGAGAUGCAUCAUAGAUGAUGCAAAAGGAAGGAGGAUAAUGGAUAUCCCAAUGACUCACAAAAGCUAUCGAAUCAGGAUGAGUUCGGCUCAGGUAGAAGAGGCCUUGAGCGCUAGUGAGCAAGGAAAGAUGGAGACAUGGCACAAGAGACUUGGUCAUGUAGGCGACAAAAGGUUGCAACAAAUGCAAGACAAAGACUUGGUAAAGGGAUUACCAAAGUUUAAAGUCAAGAAGGAAGCAUGUGAGGCGUGUAGACUUGGAAAGCAAUCACGCAAAAGCUUCCCAAAGGAAUCUCAAACUAAGACAAGAGAGAAGCUUGAGAUUGUACAUACGGAUGUAUGUGGGCCGAUGCAGCACCAGUCUGUUGAUGGAAGCCGAUACUUUUUGCUAUUCUUGGAUGAUCAUACUCACAUGUGUUGGGUAUACUUCAUGAAGCAAAAGUCAGAGACAUUCUCACUGUUCAAGAAGUUCAAAGCAAUGGUGGAGAAGCAGUCGGAUUGUACCAUCAAGACACUGAGAUCAGAUGGAGGUGGUGAGUUCACUUCACGAGAAUUCAACCGGUUCUGUGAAGAAGAAGGAAUCAAUAAGCAAGUCACCUUGCCUUAUUCACCACAACAAAAUGGUGCAGCGGAGCGCAUGAAUAGGACCUUGGUGGAGAUGGCUAGAUCUAUGUUGGCAGAACAAGACUUACCGCUCAAGUUAUGGGCAGAAGCGGUAUACACUGCCUCAUAUCUUCAAAACCGUCUGCCAUCAAAGGCAAUAGAAGAAGAUGUCACUCCUAUAGAGAAGUGGUGUGGACACAAGCCAGAUGUGUCACACAUGAGAAUGUUUGGUAGCAUAUGCUACAUACAUAUCCCAAAUCAAAAGAGGAGGAAGCUAGACGUCAAGGCAAAGCGUGGAGUCUUUGUUGGAUAUAGCAACCAAUCCAAAGGCUAUAGAGUUCUCAUUUUGGAGAAUGAGAAGAUUGAAGUAUCAAGAGAUGUCGAGUUUGAAGAAGGAAAGAAGUGGGAUUGGAAAAGGCAAGAAGAAGUGAGGAAGACAUUGGAGUUGUCUAUGGAAGACUCUCACUCGCCUGAGGAUCAAACCGAAGGUGCAUCCAGUCCUGAGGAACAAACCGAAGGUGCAUCCAGUCCUGAGGAACAAUUUGGAGGUACUUUCAGUCCUAUUUCUUUUCAAAAUGAUGAUCAUGAUACUAGUAGUGGAGAUGAAGAAACUUCUGAGGCACCAAGGAAGUUCAAGUCCAUGGUUGAUAUCAUGGAAAGGGCACCGAGAGUAGAGCUUGAUGAAGCGGCUCAAGCUAUAGAAGCUUGUCUUCAUGCAAAUGAAGAACCAUACACUUAUGAUGAAGCGUGUGGUACCAAGGAAUGGAGAGAAGCAAUGAAUGAGGAGAUAGCCAUGAUUGAGAAGAACAAGACGUGGGAACUAGUGGACAAGCCAAAGAAGAAGAAUGUGAUAAGUGUGAAGUGGAUCUACAAGAUCAAGACCGAUGCAAACGGCAAUCACAUCAAGCACAAGGCGCGGCUAGUUGCAAGAGGGUUCUCUCAAGAGUAUGGUGUUGACUACCUUGAGACGUUUGCUCCUGUCUCAAGACAUGAUACAAUACGAGCCAUACUUGCCUAUGCGGCUCAGAUGAAGUGGCGAUUGUAUCAGAUGGAUGUGAAGUCAGCCUUUCUCAAUGGCGACCUCAAGGAAGAAGUGUAUGUCACACAACCGCCUGGGUAUGUGACACACGGGAAGGAACACAAAGUGUUAAGGCUACACAAAGCUUUAUAUGGUUUAAAGCAAGCCCCAAGGGCAUGGUAUGGAAGGAUAGAUUCAUACUUUCUUCAAAACGGUUUUGAGAGGAGUAUGAAUGAUGCGGCCUUAUACAUCAUGAAGCAAGGAGGAGAUGUGUUGAUCGUGAGUCUAUAUGUGGAUGAUAUAAUCAUCACAGGAAGCAACAUUCAGAGCAUCAACACAUUCAAGGAGAACAUGAAGAAAGAAUUCGAGAUGGUGGAUCUUGGAUUGUUGAACUACUUUCUUGGAAUGGAAGUAAUUCAAGACAAUGGAGGCAUAUUUCUUUCACAAGAAAAAUAUGCAAACAAACUUGUAGACAAGUUUGGGAUGCGAGACAGCAAGAGUGUAAGCAACCCACUUACACCACAAGGAAAAGGAGUUGAGGAUGACAAGGAGUAUGGAGAUCCGACUAAGUAUAGAAGCAUCAUUGGAGGGCUUUUGUACUUGUGUGCAUCAAGACCUGAUGUGAUGUAUGCAAGCGCCUAUCUCUCAAGAUACAUGUCAUCACCUCGCAUGAAGCACUACCAAGAAGCCAAGAGGGUGUUAAGAUAUGUCAAAGGAACAUCAAACUUUGGAGUGUACUUCACAAGCGUGAAAGAACCAAGACUUCUAGGCUACACGGACAGCGAUUGGGGUGGUUCUAAGGAAGACAAGAAAAGCACUUCAGGUUAUGUGUUUACUCUUGGAUCAGCCAUGUUUUGUUGGCAGUCAAGCAAGCAACAAACAGUGGCGCAAUCAACGGCUGAGGCAGAGUACAUAGCCGUGUGUGCAGCAGCAAAUCAAGCAGUGUGGUUACAAAGACUAUUUGAAGACUUUGGUCAGAAGUUUGAAGGAGGCAUUCCGAUCUUAUGUGACAACAAAUCAGCAAUAGCAAUUGGGAAGAAUCCGGUGCAACACAGAAGGACGAAGCACAUAGAGAUCAAGUACCAUUUCGUGAGGGAAGCUGAGCAAAAGGGAAUCAUUGAACUGAAGUAUUGCAAAGGGGAUGAUCAACUCGCAGACAUUCUCACAAAGGCAUUGGGUGGUUCAAGAUUUGAAGAUCUAAGGAAGCAGCUUGGAGUCAAGUCGAGAUAUGAUUAAGGAGGAGUGUUAAACUAUAAUCUAAUCUCUCCUUGAUACAUUUACAUAAGUUAGUUAUUUAUGUUAUUACACAAAGAGUUGUAACUCUUCAAGUUGUGUCCUUUAGUAUAAAGAGUUGUGUCUCUUAUACUUGUAUUGAUUCGAUCUCUAUAUAAAGAUCAAUCAUCUGUUGUAAACACAAUACCGAAUCUCAAUAAUACAAAAGUAUUUUCAGAAAAGUUUAUAAGCCUGAAACGUCUAUCUUAUUCUUUCUCUCGAACUCGUGUGUAACACACUGUGAUCGUUGUGUAACACAAGCAGUUGGUAAAAGAUUAACAAAAUUGAUUUGGGAAUUAUCCUUAAAAGAAAUUUUAGAAGUAAUUGUGGAAUCGAAUAAUAAGUAUUGCACAGUAAAACUAAAGUGGUGAACUAAUGUCGUGUGAUCCACGACCGAGAGGACUAGCGUGAAGAGCCACCGGCGGAGUUGGUCGGGAUUUUACAGGAAGGUUCUAAACGUGUUAUAUUAUCUAAGAGGUAUAAGAUGAUUAUGGUUCUUUCUCCAACAAAUAUGAAAAUAAACCUUUUUGUACACUUAAAGUGCUUCACAGAAUCACAAAUUAGAAUGUCUAUUAUAUACCGUUUUUAAAAGAAUGCUUUAUAUAUGACUUAUUCUUAGGUCCACCCCCUAGGGUGAACCUCUAGGUUCACCAACCAAUAAGAUUGUCUUAUUUUAUAUUUGAUAUCUUUUAAAAAAAGAAACAAAAUAUUGUCAAAUUAUAUUAUGUUUUUAAAAUUAAAAGGUAAAAAAAUAAUAAUAAUUACAAAAAAAAAUAUUUUACGUCGUCAGCAUAACAUUAAACUCUAAACCCUAAAUUUUAGUCCCUAAACCCUUAAUCCUAAACUCUAAACCCUUGGAUAAACCCUAAACUCUAGGAUAAACCCUAAACUCUAGGAUAAAUCCUAAACUCUAGGAUAAAUCCUAAACUCUAGGAUAAAUCUUUAACUCUAAAUCAAAAUCACUAUACACUAAAAUAUUCAAGCGUUUAGGGUUUAGGGUUUUAGUCGUUUUUUUUUAGAGUUUAAAAUUUAUCCAAGGGUUUAGGGUUUACCCAAGGGUUUAGGGUUUACCCAAGGGUUUAGAGUUUACCCAAGGGUUUAGGAUUUACCCAGGGGUUUAGGGUUUAGGAUUUAGGGUUUAGGGAUUAUGAUUUAGGGUUUAGUGUUUUGUUGACAACAUUAAAAAUAUAUUUUUUUUUAAUUCUUUUUUCUGUAACCAUUAUCUUUUUUCACUUUUUUAUUUUAAAAAUAUAAUAUAAUUUGAGAAUAUUUUGUUUCAUUUUUUAAAAGAUAUCGAAUUUGAAAUAAUGAAAUCCUAUUGGUUAGUGAACCUAGAGGUUUACCCUAGGGGGUGAACUCAAGAAUGACUCUUUAUAUAUAUGAUAACAACUCGGAAUAAAUAGAUAGCACAUGAAGUAUCCUUUUUGCAGAUCUUUUAGAUUUUUUAUGUUUCUAGAUGGUUUCAAGAUAACGAUCUUUUGUUUAUUCAUGGAAGUUAAUAGUUAAAUACAAGGUUGUCCUGCACAACCCAUGCAUAGCCACACAUUCACCCAGUACAAGUUAAAACACAUAAAGGUAUAGCGAGUGAAGAGUCAGCAGCCAUACCACAAAGGUCAAGAUGACACGUGGCAGCAUAUAAGUGAAUGAAAACAACGCAUUCACACAAACCGUGGGAUCAAUUUAGCUGUGUCCUGUCCACUUGGCACUCCCAGAGCCAAAAACACCGUGUUCUUUUCUAAAAACCAGCCCCACCCAUUUCAAAAUAUCUCAUGCCAAUAUAAACACCAACUCUCGCUCCACUUUUCUCAAACCACAAACUUUUAACUCCACCUGAAAAGAAGCUAAAAGUGAGAGAAAUAAAUAUCUUAUCAAACCAGACAGAACAGAGAUCUUGUUACUUACUAUACUACUACACUCAGCCUUAUCCAGUUUUUCAAAAGAAGUUUUCAACGAUGAACUCAGUCUCUACUCUUUCUGAAGUUCUUGGCUCCCAGAACGAGUCUCCCGUAGGUGGUGAUUACUGUCCCAUGUUGGCGGCGAGCUGUCCGAAGAAGCCGGCGGGUAGGAAGAAGUUUCGGGAGACACGUCACCCCAUUUACAGAGGAGUUCGUCUUAGAAAGUCAGGUAAGUGGGUGUGUGAAGUGAGGGAACCAAACAAGAAAUCUAGGAUUUGGCUCGGAACUUUCAAAACAGCUGAGAUCGCAGCUCGUGCUCACGACGUUGCCGCCUUAGCUCUCCGUGGAAGAGGCGCCUGCCUCAACUUCGCCGACUCGGCUUGGCGGCUCCGUAUCCCGGAGACAACCUGCGCCAAGGAUAUCCAGAAGGCUGCUGCUGAAGCCGCAUUGGCUUUUGAGGCGGAGAAGAGUGAUACCACGACGACGAAUGAUCAUGGCAUGAACAUGGCUUCUCAGGUUGAGGUUAAUGACACGACGGAUCAUGACCUGGACAUGGAGGAGACGAUGGUGGAGGCUGUUUUUAGGGAGGAACAGAGAGAAGGGUUUUACAUGGCGGAGGAGACGACGGUGGAGGGUAUUGUUCCGGAGGAACAGAUGAGCAAAGGGUUUUA